GUGAGCGUGGCCAAGAGGUUAAGGCGCCAGGUUGUGGCCCUGGAGAUCGGGGGUUCAAAUCCCCUCGCUCACC
rnacentral:tRNA from 1 species